rnacentral:lncRNA from 1 species
GUUUUAUACAAGUGUUAUGGGUUUCAAUUGAAUAUUUUCUUGAAUCUUUUGGCUCAAAGAAUAUAUUUUAGUUUUAAUAUUUCCAACUCUGAAUUAUUACGAUUUGUUCUAGGUUAUAGAUUUGUAUAUAUUUUUCAUAAGAUACCAGUACCGCGGAUUGUCAAUGUAAGCUGGGCAUGGAUCUUGCAUUUGUAAUACCUGUGAAACUACUAAUAUUCUAUCUACGUUGAAGAUGAACGAUAACAAUUACAUAAACAUCAAUGAUUUAUUGCAAUUUCUUUUGUACAGAUUAUUGAUUAUACCAGUACCGCGGAUUGUCAAUGUAAGCUGGGCAUGGAUCUUGCAUUUGUAAUACCUGUGAAACUACUAAUAUUCUAUCUACGUUGAAGAUGAACGAUAACAAUUACAUAAACAUCAAUGAUUUAUUGCAAUUUCUUUUGUACAGAUUAUUGAUUAUACCAGUACCGCGGAUUGUCAAUGUAAGCUGGGCAUGGAUCUUGCAUUUGUAAUACCUGUGAAACUACUAAUAUUCUAUCUACAUUGAAGAUGAACGAUAACAAUUACAUAAACAUCAAUGAUUUAUUGCAAUUUCUUUUGUAAAGAUUAUUGAUUAUACCAGUACCGCGGAUUGUCUGGGCAUGGAUCUUGCAUUUGUAAUACCUGUGAAACUACUAAUAUUCUAUCUACGUUGAAGAUGAACGAUAACAAUUACAUAAACAUCAAUGAUUUAUUGCAAUUUCUUUUGUAAAGAUUAUUGAUUAUACCAGUACCGCGGAUUGUCAAUGUAAGCUGGGCAUGGAUCUUGCAUUUGUAAUACCUGUGAAACUACUAAUAUUCUAUCUACAUUGAAGAUGAACGAUAACAAUUACAUAAACAUCAAUGAUUUAUUGCAAUUUCUUUUGUAAAGAUUAUUGAUUAUACCAGUACCGCGGAUUGUCUGGGCAUGGAUCUUGCAUUUGUAAUACCUGUGAAACUACUAAUAUUCUAUCUACGUUGAAGAUGAACGAUAACAAUUACAUAAACAUCAAUGAUUUAUUGCAAUUUCUUUUGUACAGAUUAUUGAUUAUACCAGUACCGCGGAUUGUCAAUGUAAGCUGGGCAUGGAUCUUGCAUUUGUAAUACCUGUGAAACUACUAAUAUUCUAUCUACAUUGAAGAUGAACGAUAACAAUUACAUAAACAUCAAUGAUUUAUUGCAAUUUCUUUUGUAAAGAUUAUUGAUUAUACCAGUACCGCGGAUUGUCUGGGCAUGGAUCUUGCAUUUGUAAUACCUGUGAAACUACUAAUAUUCUAUCUACGUUGAAGAUGAACGAUAACAAUUACAUAAACAUCAAUGAUUUAUUGCAAUUUCUUUUGUACAGAUUAUUGAUUAUACCAGUACCGCGGAUUGUCAAUGUAAGCUGGGCAUGGAUCUUGCAUUUGUAAUACCUGUGAAACUAUUAAUAUUCUAUCUACAUUGAAGAUGAACGAUAACAAUUACAUAAACAUCAAUGAUUUAUUGCAAUUUCUUUUGUAAAGAUUAUUGAUUAUACCACUACCGCGGAUUGUCAAUGUAAGCUGGGCAUGGAUCUUGCAUUUGUAAUACCUGUGAAACUACUAAUAUUCUAUCUACAUUGAAGAUGAACGAUAACAAUUACAUAAACAUCAAUGAUUUAUUGCAAUUUCUUUUGUAAAGAUUAUUGAUUAUACCAGUACCGCGGAUUGUCAAUGUAAGCUGGGCAUGGAUCUUGCAUUUGUAAUACCUGUGAAACUACUAAUAUUCUAUCUACAUUGAAGAUGAACGAUAACAAUUACAUAAACAUCAAUGAUUUAUUGCAAUUUCUUUUGUAAAGAUUAUUGAUUAUACCAGUACCGCGGAUUGUCAAUGUAAGCUGGGCAUGGAUCUUGCAUUUGUAAUACCUGUGAAACUACUAAUAUUCUAUCUACAUUGAAGAUGAACGAUAACAAUUACAUAAACAUCAAUGAUUUAUUGCAAUUUCUUUUGUAAAGAUUAUUGAUUAUACCAGUACCGCGGAUUGUCAAUGUAAGCUGGGCAUGGAUCUUGCAUUUGUAAUACCUGUGAAACUAUUAAUAUUCUAUCUACAUUGAAGAUGAACGAUAACAAUUACAUAAACAUCAAUGAUUUAUUGCAAUUUCUUUUGUAAAGAUUAUUGAUUAUACCACUACCGCGGAUUGUCAAUGUAAGCUGGGCAUGGAUCUUGCAUUUGUAAUACCUGUGAAACUACUAAUAUUCUAUCUACAUUGAAGAUGAACGAUAACAAUUACAUAAACAUCAAUGAUUUAUUGCAAUUUCUUUUGUAAAGAUUAUUGAUUAUACCAGUACCGCGGAUUGUCAAUGUAAGCUGGGCAUGGAUCUUGCAUUUGUAAUACCUGUGAAACUACUAAUAUUCUAUCUACAUUGAAGAUGAACGAUAACAAUUACAU